rnacentral:tRNA from 1 species
GGCGGGGUAGCUCAGCCGGUUAGAGCAGCGGAAUCAUAAUCCGCGUGUCGGGGGUUCGAGUCCCUCUCCCGCUA